UUUCACCUUUUUACCCGAGGGUACGAAUGUGGAUCUAACGUGAUUGCUACAAUGGAAGGAAUCAAUAAUUUCAAGACACCAAACAAAUUAUCUGAAAAAAGGAAAUCUGUAUUAUGUUCGACUCCAUGUGUAAAUAUCCCUGCCUCUCCAUUUAUGCAGAAGCUUGGCUUUGGGACUGGGGUCAGCGUUUACCUAAUGAAAAGAUCUCCUAGAGGGUUGUCUCAUUCUCCUUGGGCUGUGAAAAAGAUAAAUCCUUUAUGUGAUGGUCAAUAUCGAACUGUGUAUCAGAAGAGACUAACUGAUGAAGCUAAGAUUUUAAAAAACCUAAAUCACCCAAACAUUAUAGGGUAUCGUGCUUUUACUGAAGCCAGUGAUGGUAAUCUGUGCCUUGCUAUGGAGUAUGGAGGUGAAAAGUCUCUGAAUGACCUGAUAGAAGAGCGGAACAAAGACAGUGGAAGUCCUUUUCCUGCUGCUGUAAUUCUCAGAGUUGCUUUGCACAUGGCGAGAGGGCUAAAGUAUCUGCAUCAAGAAAAGAAGCUACUUCAUGGAGACAUAAAGUCUUCAAAUGUUGUAAUUAAAGGUGAUUUUGAAACAAUUAAAAUCUGUGAUGUAGGAGUCUCUCUGCCACUGGAUGAAAAUAUGACUGUGACUGAUCCUGAGGCCUGUUAUAUUGGCACUGAGCCAUGGAAACCUAAGGAAGCAUUGGAGGAAAAUGGCAUUAUUACUGACAAGGCAGAUAUGUUUGCUUUUGGCCUUACUCUGUGGGAAAUGAUGACUUUGUGUAUUCCACACAUCAAUCUUCCAGAUGAUGAUGAUGAAGAUGCAACCUUUGAUGAGAGUGACUUCGAUGAUGAAGCAUACUAUGCAGCUCUGGGGACAAGGCCAUCCAUCAACAUGGAAGAACUGGAUGAAUCCUACCAGAAGGUCAUUGAACUCUUCUGUGUGUGUACUAAUGAGGAUCCUAAAGAUCGCCCAUCUGCUGCACACAUUGUUGAAGCUUUGGAACUAGAUGGUCAAUGUUGUGGUGGUCUAAGCUUGAAGCAUAGCUUGUAUGGGAACUGUUAAUUAGAUGUGUUUAGUUAAUAUAACUUAUAGUACCUAGACACUAGAAGUAGCUUAUUUUAGGACCAUUGUACAGUUACUCUUUGCAUAACUUUCUGACAUGUUAGUUCUUAUAUAUGCACUUAUUAUACUGGAUAGUCUAUGAAGUUUAAGAAACUCCAGGUAUCUAGAUGCUGCCUCUGAUUUAAACACUAGAGACCCCUGUCUAAGAUGACUUAGAAUCAAGGGACUGUUGCUUUGUUAAAGAUUUAGAUAUUCUUGCUUCUUUAAUGAGUUACUAAAAUUUUCACUAUAUAUGGUACACAGUUAAUCUGUCUGCUCAUAGUGUCCACUCUUUUAUCAGCCCAUGUGCCCUGGAGUUGAGAAGAGCAUGGUUCAGAAGCAUAGCUCCUGGGGUGUUUCAGACCCUAGUUACAGUCUUGCCUCUCUCCACAUCUUAGUGUCUAACUUACUUUGUUUUUACUGACUGUAUCCUAAGUCUUUUAAUGUUAAUGUAAGAAUAAACAAAUAAAAGACAGUGAUAGUACCAGG